AAGACCUUGCACUUUUGGAGCGGCCGAUGUCUGAUUAGCUAGUUGGUGGGGUAAUGGCCUACCAAAGCUUCGAUCAGUAGCUGGUCUGAGAGGACGGCCAGCCACACUGGGACCGAGACACGGCCCAGACUCCUACGGGAGGCAGCAGUGGGGAAUUUUGGACAAUGGGCGCAAGCCUGAUCCAGCCAUGCCGCGUGAGUGAAGAAGGCCUUCGGGUUGUAAAGCUCUUUCAGCCGGGAAGAAAAGGUUGCGACUAAUAAUCGCAAUCCAUGACGGUACCGAAAGAAGAAGCACCGGCUAACUACGCGCCAGCAGCCGCGGUAAUACGUAGGGUGCGAGCGUUAAUCGGAAUUACUGGGCGUAAAGGGUGCGCAGGCGGUCUUGUAAGUCAGAUGUGAAAUCCCCGGGCUUAACCUGGGAACU
rnacentral:rRNA from 1 species